GCAUGUCCACCUAUACUACCUUAUUACAUCUCUAUUAUCUUUCAAAACUUGAAAACAUUCAAUGUAUUAGAUUAAUGGAUUGUUUUGUUGAAAACUGAAGUAGUAGGAGUUUGGGAUAAGAAGUUGAUUAGAGAAGUAAAGAUUAAAGUGGGAGGCAGUAGCUCACGGCCUGCAGGUCAAAGAGAAUGACAUCAACUAUGGUCCCAAACCGUAUAGCGACUAGUCGUGAUUAAUGAUUGUGGUGCUCCAGAGAAAAAACAAAUUACAAUAUGUAAUCGAAUUAUUUGGGUUGCUAACAAAUAUAUUUAGUUAUUAUUUUUUUUUUGAACUGAAAUAUAUUUAGUUAUUUCGAGUUAAUAAUUGUUUGAUCGUCUUGUUACGAUAUUUUUCUCACAGACGAAGCUAAGACGCAUAUUUUUCGUUUGACUAUCUUAGCCGAAAACUUGGACUAUUAUUCAAAAAAUAACAGAAUUACAUUAUGCAUUAAAUUCAGUCAGUUGACGUAUGAUUUAUAUUAUCAAUUCAGUCAGUUAAUUCAACCAAAGUUAUUAUCAAUUCCAGCCGUAUGAUAUAAGAAAACAAAAUUUUGGGGACGACUUUAUCUUCGUCAAAGAAAAAAAGUCAGGAUAACAACUCUAUAAAUAAAACACAUCUUUCAGCAAAUAAAUACAUACAUAUAUCGUUCUCUUCGUCAGAGACUAAGUUCACUUGUAAAAUCCAUAAAAAUUUCAAUAACUAAAUAAAAAAUAAUGUAUCAUCGCUUGGUUUGCUUAGUUACUUUGAUUAUUCUAAUGUUCACUGGAUCAUCGACCACAGCUUUCGCUCGGAUACCAUACCAAUCAUCCAUGACAAAACAUGGAGAAAGGGUUUGGGAUCAAAAGAUGAUUGGAGAUAUCAAGAUUGACGUAGGAAGCAGUAAUUCAAGGCCAGCACGUCAAAAAGAUAGCCCAAGUCCGCCAGGCGCCAACAUGUAGCUUUCUUGGACUACUGAAAGUUGGAUGUGCAUGUUCCAUAGAAUAUAUAUUGGCUAAACGAAAAUGUAUCAGAUUUACGCGUUGUUUACCUAAGCAGUAUAAAAGUAUGACGUUUUAGUUGUUAAAAUUGUAAGUCACAGUUUAUAUUUUUGUUAUAAAAAAGCAUGUAGCGAAAGUUAUUUUCGUUCGUAUAAACAAAAUCAAGAUUAUUGUAAAAAAAA